rnacentral:tRNA from 1 species
GGGGGUGUAGCUCAGUGGUAGAGCACGUGCUUCGCGUGCACGAGGUCCCAGGUUCAACUCCCGGCUCCUCCA